GCGUCUGUAGCUCAGCUGGAUAGAGCAACGGCCUUCUAAGCCGUGGGUCCCGCGUUCGAAUCGCGGCAGUCGCACCA
rnacentral:tRNA from 1 species